UCUCCGUAGGUGAACCUGCGGAGGGAUCACUACAGAGUUCAUGCCCUACCGGGUAGAUCUCCCACCCUAUGUUAUUAUUACUUUGUUGCUUUGGCGGGCCGUUAGGCUCCGGCCCGACUACCGGCCCCGGCUGGUAAGCGCCCGCCAGAGGACCCAAAACCCUGAAUAUUAGUGUCGUCUGAGUACUAUAUAGUAGUUAAAACUUUCAACAACGGAUCUCUUGGUUCUG
rnacentral:misc_RNA from 1 species